rnacentral:rRNA from 1 species
AUUGAACGCUGGCGGCAGGCCUAACACAUGCAAGUCGAAUGGUAACAGGCAACAGCUUGCUGUUUCGCUGACGAGUGGCGGACGGGUGAGUAAUGUCUGGGAAACUGCCUGAUGGAGGGGGAUAACUACUGGAAACGGACGCUAAUACCGCAUAACGUCGCAAGACCAAAGAGCGGGACCUUCGGGCCUCUUGCCAUCAGAUGUGCCCAGAUGGGAUUAGCUAGUAGGUGGGGUAACGGCUCACCUAGGCGACGAUCCGUAGCUGGUCUGAGAGGAUGACCAGCCACACUGGAACUGAGACACGGUCCAGACUCCUACGGGAGGCAGCAGUGGGGAAUAUUGCACAAUGGGCGCAAGCCUGAUGCAGCCAUGCCGCGUGUAUGAAGAAGGCCUUCGGGUUGUAAAGUACUUUCAGCGGGGAGGAAGGGAGUAAAGUUAAUACCUUUGCUCAUUGACGUUACCCGCAGAAGAAGCACCGGCUAACUCCGUG